rnacentral:tRNA from 1 species
GGGCCCAUAGUCUAGUGGCUCAACGGUUUCGCCCGUUGACAACGAAAUGCUGCAUUCGCAACUAACGUUGCUCAACCACACGGUGAAAACGUUCCACAAAUGACGUCGCCUCGACACGGCGGAGGUCGGGAGUUCGAGUCUCCCUGGGCCCA